GUCAACCACUCGCCAAUAAAUUGACGGGCAUGUAAUGUGCCCUGGUUGACCAGAUCCCCGAUUAGGAGCUUUGGAAAAUCGGGAAACGAUAGGAACGAAUUUCAUAGUUACCCUGAAAUGCCGCCUCAGUUUCAGGCUCUAAG
rnacentral:sRNA from 17 species